rnacentral:rRNA from 1 species
UACGUAGGUGGCAAGCGUUGUCCGGAUUUAUUGGGGUUAAAGGGGGCGUAGGCGGCUUUUUAAGUCAGUGGUGAAAGCCGAUCGCUUAACGAUCGAACUGCCAUUGAUACUGAGAGGCUUGAGUAUAGUUGAGGUAGGCGGAAUUGACAGUGUAGCGGUGAAAUGCAUAGAUAUUGUCAAGGACACCAAUUGCGAAGGCAGCUUACUAAAGUAUAACUGACGCU